CAAAUAUUUAAUAUGAAUAAAAUAUUUAAAGGGAUAAUUUUAGUUUUACAUCACAUUUUAACUGUCAAUGUCAUAAUAGAGUUUGCUUUUACUGCAAUAAAAUACACAUUUGUAUUCAGUGAUGUCUCACGUGUAAAACAGUACCCCCUAACGAACAGGUUUUAUGGUGUUUUGGUAAGUUACAGGGUCAAAUAUAGCACGUUACAUGUUUUUCACAUUGAGAUUCGCCAGAUUGGUUACGUUGCCUUGGAGACCAUAUGGUAGCCCAGAAAUGAGAAUUGCCCCCAUGAUAGCAUACCAUUUGCAAUAAUAGACAACCCAAGGUAUUGCAAAUGGGGUAUGUCCAGUCUUUUUUAGUAGCCAAAGUUAGUGUUAAUAUUUGUGUGAAAAAUGCAAAAAAACUAG